AUGGCGGCGCGCGAGGGCCAGAGCGACCCGCAUCGCCGGGAGCCUGGCCAGCGCCGCCCCAUGUGCGCCGUCUGCACCAAGCCCCUCAGCGUCUGCCUCUGCGGCCGUCUCCGCGGCCCCCCGCUGGACACCACCGUCGGCGUCACCGUGCUGCAGCACACCAUGGAGGUCCGGCACCCGCUCAGCUCCAUCCGUGUUGCCCGCCUCGGCCUCCGCAACCUCGCCGUCACCCAAGUCACCGACGUCAACCACCGCGCCAGCUUCCUCCUCAGGACGCUCGGCGGCGCCACGGCCUCGAAUCUUGCAGACGGAGAAACUGAUGUCGGCGCCUCCCUUGCCGGAAAUCAUGACGGUUCGGUUGUUCCUGGGCAGACUGGCUUACAAGAUGGUGAUGAUUUCGAGCGAAGCCAAGGCAAAGGAUUGAAUCAUGCAAAGUGCAGUGAUUCUGAAGAUAUGGGGAUCAAUCCUUUCGGUGUUCAUUUGGGUGAGGAAAAUGCCACUGUUGCGAUCUCUAGGCAAGCUGGUGGUGAAGGAUCAGAUAAUGGGGAAAUAAGCAAUUGUGUUUUCUCUGAUCUGGAUCGAGAAGUUGGCGGUGGCAUUGAAUGUGACUCUAAUGGUGGUGAGUGUUUCAGAUUCGACAAGGCGAAAAGCAAUGAACAUGCUGAAGAUUUUGAAAGGCCAGUCUCAGCCGCAAAUCAGUCAGAAAGCUAUGUGGCCAAUGCCGCUAAUGCUGAAGGCCAACAGAGAAGUGAGACAUGUGUGACAAAUGAGGUACAUGAUGAUCUGCCUCACCCUUUAGUUGAAACUACCUCAGUUAAUGGUAUUUGCACUGAAAAUGUUGAAGUUGGUGCUGCUACGGGAGAAGGUUGGACCGUGGAAAAUAUGGAUAAGUGCUCUGUUGCUUAUACAGAAAAGGAACUCAGGAUUGACAUUGAGCGCGGCGUAAAGCCCAAAAUCAGAUGGUUGUGCAGAGGUUCUGUUGGUCAAGGAGCUGUCUCGAAUGGCUUUACUGUCACGAAAAUACAAAAGAACAAGUCCAGACGUACAGGUGAAGUCUCGGAGUUUGAGGAAUUUUCCAUCACCAUACCACCACACGCAGCUCUGCUAUUUCCAUGCCAGGGUGCAAUCAGCCUUGAUGCUUUAGAUUGUCAGGUGAAACAUUUGAUUGUGUUGGAUGGCACCUGGGCAAAGGCGCAGCGGAUGUAUCAUGAGAAUCCAUGGCUACAACUUCUGCCACACGUGAAGCUAGAAUCAGAUAAGGUUAGCUUGUACAGCGAGGUGAGGCAGGAGCCAAAGGCCGGGUGCUUGUCGACCAUUGAGAGCAUAGUUAUCACCAUGAAGAAACUUGGAGAGGAUGAGAUGGGUUUGGAUGAUGUUCUGUCUGUUUUCGAGUCAAUGAUUAUUGAUCAGCGGCGUUGCAAGGAAGAGAACUGGAAACCAAAACUAAAGCCAUAG
rnacentral:rRNA from 1 species